UCAUAUUGAAUAUACAUGUUCUAAACAUUAUACAGUACUUUCGUUGUUAACUCCAAACAACUUGGGAUCUUCUCUUCUGCAUGCAGCAACUGGCUUACCAGCACACCGCCAAGGGGGCAUGCCUUGCCCUGGUAGCAAGGAGGAGUGGAGCCUGUGGCAGGUCGCCAACCGUGCCUUCAAGCUCGGCGCGCCGGACGUGAUCAUUCUCCCGGGGGACGUCGCAGACCCCGACGACUACAACAGAUUUGUUCAGGCCACAAUCGACCACUACGGCCAAUGGCGACCGUGGAAGGCAUGAUGAUAGUUCAUAUUGCAAUUCUGUUAGUCCAGUGUAAUGAAGGUCAUGGCCUAGUCAAGUAUGGUCGCCCAUUGAGUCAUGCAUAUGUUUCAUAUGAUUGGAGCAGGGGCCCAGUUUGUGCCGAUUGUCACUGCAUAUGUUUAACAGUGAUUCUACUUGUAUAGUUAUUACACUAGUAGAAUUUGUACCUGUGCGAUGACUGGAGCAGGAUCCCAAUAUUUGUAGAGAUUGUAACAUUGAUUGUCACUGUAUACAGAUUGAUUCUGGUUGCUGUUACUUGAAGUAUUUCUUAUGUUUUAUGUCU